rnacentral:rRNA from 1 species
AGAGUUUGAUCCUGGCUCAGAACGAACGCUGGCGGCAUGCCUAACACAUGCAAGUCGAACGCUCUGGCUUCGGCCAGGGAGUGGCGCACGGGUGAGUAGCGCGUGGGAACCUGCCUUGGAGUGGGGGAUAACCGAGGGAAACUUCGGCUAAUACCGCAUGCGCCGGGAGCAAUCCCGGGAAAGAUUUAUCGCUCUAAGAG